GCUGAACUACUUCUUCUCUAGUGCAUUGCUUCCCUUCAGAUGCACUCUCUCGCAAUUUUCUGUCCAUAUUAGUUACAUUUUGUGUUUUCAGGCUAGGAAUACGAUUUAUUGGUAUUGCAUUGUGUCUUGGGAAUUUCUGAAGUGAAGUAUCCAUUUGGGCGAAUCAACUUCAGAAUGUCACUGCUCGUCUAAAGAUGUGCGCGUUUCUAAGAGUACUGGACAUGGUGUAACUUCAAACCCGCUAUCAGAUUGAUAUGUUGUUAUGAUGGCAUUGAGUGCAUGUGAUGUGUAAAGUGAGCCUGCUUUAUUCGGUGGAUGUGAGAAUAUGAUCAGGUGGCAGCAAUACAAAUCGCCAAGCAAAUACUUAGCACAUCUGCAUAUUUACUUAUUAUGGGCAACUGUAGAAUGUAUAAUGUUUAAAUUAUCAAAUAUGUGUUUUUAUAACUUUA